UCUUGCACUCAUUGUAUCACAACCCUAAUCAGAUUUUGAGGGUCAUUGAGAGUGAGAAAGAAAGCCUUCGUCAAGGUAUUCUCCACAUGAGUUUGUUUUGUUGACUGAUGGGGGAGAACCUGAAUGAUUUGGAGAGGCUAUUGAAGAUGAAAGCAAAGCUCAAUGGCUUGAAGCUAUGCAAGAAGAAAUGAAGUCCUUACUUGAGAAUGAUACCUAUGAGUUCGUAAAGCU